UUUAUUUUAAAGACUUUUUCGGAAGUAUGCUUAAAGAGGGGCUUGCGUCACAUUAGUAGUUGCAGGGUAAAGGCCUACCAAGACUAUGAUGUGUAGCUGGACUGAGAGGUUGAACAGCCACAUUGGGACUGAGACACGGCCCAAACUCCUACGGGAGGCAGCAGUAGGGAAUUUUCGGCAAUGGAGGAAACUCUGACCGAGCAACGCCGCGUGAACGAUGAAGUAUUUCGGUAUGUAAAGUUCUUUUAUUGAAGAAGAAAAAAUAGUGGAAAAACUAUCUUGACGAUAUUCAAUGAAUAAGCCCCGGCAAACUAUGUGCCAGCAGCCGCGGUAAUACAUAGGGGGCGAGCGUUAUCCGGAAUUAUUGGGCGUAAAGGGUGCGUAGGCGGUUUAAUAAGUCUAUAGUUUAAUUUCAGUGCUUAACACUGUCCUGCUAUAGAAACUAUUAGACUAGAGUGAGAUAGAGGCAAGUGGAAUUCCAUGUGUAGCGGUAAAAUGCGUAAAUAUAUGGAGGAACACCAGAGGCGUAGGCGGCUUGCUGGGUCUUUACUGACGCUGAGGCACGAAAGCGUGGGGAGCAAACAGGAUUAGAUACCCUGGUAGUCCACGCCGUAAACGAUGAGUACUAAGUGUCGGGAUUACUCGGUACUGAAGUUAACACAUUAAGUACUCCGCCUGAGUAGUACGUACGCAAGUAUGAAACUUAAAGGAAUUGACGGGACUCCGCACAAGCGGUGGAUCAUGUUGUUUAAUUUGAAGAUACACGAAAAAACCUUACCAGGUCUUGACAUACUCUGCAAAGCUAUAGCAAUAUAGUGGAGGUUAUCAGAGAUACAGGUGGUGCAUGGUUGUCGUCAGCUCGUGUCGUGAGAUGUUAGGUUAAGUCCUAAAACGAGCGCAACCCUUGUCAUUAGUUGCCAGCAUGUCAUGAUGGGCACUUUAAUGAGACUGCCAAUGAAAAAUUGGAGGAAGGUGAGGAUCACGUCAAAUCAUCAUGCCCCUUAUGAUCUGGGCUACAAACGUGAUACAAUGGCUGUUACAAAGAGUAGCUGAAACGCAAGUUUAUAGCCAAUCUCAUAAAAGCAGUCUCAGUUCGGAUUGAAGUCUGCAACUCGACUUCAUGAAGUUGGAAUCGCUAGUAAUCGCGAAUCAGCAUUCGCGGAAUUCUAUGGG
rnacentral:rRNA from 2 species